rnacentral:rRNA from 1 species
UGUCAGAGCCAUAUCUCCCUGCGGUGCUCACAUGUUUUCCCAUUGAAGCUAAGCAGGGUUGAGCCUGGCCAGUACCUGGAUGGGGGACCUCCUGGGGAAAACUAAAGUUGCUGUUGGAA